rnacentral:rRNA from 2 species
GUGCGAGACCGAUAGCGAACAAGUACCGUGAGGGAAAGAUGAAAAGAACUUUGAAAAGAGAGUUAAAGAGUACCUGAAACUGCUGAAAGGGAAGCGAAUCGUAUCCAGUGUCUAUAAUCUGCGGCAUAUUUCAUUGGCGGCGGUGCGCGUGCUUUUGCGUCGGAAGCGGCUUUUGUUGCUCUGUCCUUUUGCUGUGCGUGGUGUUGCUGGUGCCCUGUGUUGCGGUGGGACGUCAGAGUCAGUUUGUAUGCUGCGGGAAAUGGCUGCCGAGGAGGUAGGUCGAGAUUUCGGUCUUGGCUGUUAUAUCUUGGUGGUUUGUUGUCGUGGUUGAGACUGAGGUGCCUACAAUGUGCUUUUGAGUGUACCGGGUUCUCAUUUGGUGGACUGUCUGGAUAGCUUGCUAUGCUUGUGGUUUUUUCAUCGGGUGAUUGAGUCUGGUGGUAACUUGUUGCUGUUCGGGACUUUG